GACGAACGCUGGCGGCGUGCUUAACACAUGCAAGUCGAACGGACCUUCGGGUUAGUGGCGAACGGGUGAGUAACACGUGGGUGAUCUGCCCUGCACUUUGGGAUAAGCCUGGGAAACUGGGUCUAAUACCGGAUAGGACCACGCAUUUUAUGGUGUGUGGUGGAAAGCUUUUGCGGUGUGGGAUGGGCCCGCGGCCUAUCAGCUUGUUGGUGGGGUAAUGGCCUACCACGGCGACGACGGGUAGCCGGCCUGAGAGGGUGACCGGCCACACUGGGACUGAGAUGCGGCCCAGCCUACUACGGGAGGGAGCAGUGGGGAAUAUUGCACAAUGGGCGCAAGCCUGAUGCGGCGACGCCGCGUGAGGGAUGACGGCCUUCGGGUUGUAAACCUCAUUCGCCAGGGACGAAGCGCAAGUGACGGUACCUGGAGAAGAAGGACCGGCCAACUACGUGCCAGCCGCCGCGGUAAGAC
rnacentral:rRNA from 1 species